rnacentral:tRNA from 1 species
GCCUUCGUGGCGUAGUGGUAAAAGGAUGCGACUGUAACGCGAGGGUUGUGGGUUCGAUCCCUACUCGAGGGAA